GCCAGGCAUGGUGGCGGGCGCCUGUAAUCCCAGCUACUCAGGAGGCUGAGGCAGGAGAAUUGCUUGAGCCUGGGAGGCUGAGGUUGCAGUGAGCCGAGAUCGUGCCACUGCACUAUAGCCUGGGCAACAGAGCGAGAUUCCGUCUCAA
ensembl:misc_RNA Metazoa_SRP Metazoan signal recognition particle RNA